GUGCAGCUCAGUGGUAGAGCGCUGGCCUGGCAGGCAGGAGGCCCUGGGAUCCAUCCCCAGAAACACA
rnacentral:tRNA from 1 species